UACGUAGGUGGCGAGCGUUGUCCGGAUUUACUGGUCGUAACGAGCGCGCAGGCGGUCGUGCAAGUCGCGUGUGAAAGCCCCCGGCUCAACUGGGGAGGGUCACGCGAUACUGAUCGACUCGAAGGCAGGAGAGGGUAGUGGAAUUCCCGGUGUAGUGGUGAAAUGCGUAGAUAUCGGGAGGAACACCAGUGGCGAAGGCGACUUCCUGGACCAGUACCGACGUUCAGGCACGAAAGCGUGGGGAGCAAACAGG
rnacentral:rRNA from 1 species